ACUACGGAGUACACUGCACUGGGUUUCAUUUUCCUUACGUGCACCCGCUUGUUGCUAUGGAUCGAUAAGAUGAGGGGAAAUCCCGAACAGCAAGAGGAAGAGUCUUAUGAUAUACUCUCCGUAAAGUGCAUGGAAUAGUACAAUGCUAGCACGGCGCUACGAUAGCAGGCUCGGCUUAGUAGUUAGUACACGCAUAAUCUUUCUUGUCGAUCAGCAUGUAGUGCGCAAAUGGGGGCGAAGGAAGAUUGCCCUUUGCAGACAAGCGCGGGGGUUCGUUGUCCGAGAGGAAGAGCUCUGGCAGUUGGGGGCUCGGGAGUGAUAGUCCGCUCUUCGCUUGGAGCCAUGGCCAAGCGCUGAAAUGAGAAUCUUUCCGUCACAUUUUCCUGAGGCCACUAUGUUGGCUGGUGUGAAGUUCUUCGUCCCUCCGUUCCCAGAUAUCAACAAGGAAUAUCCCACAAACUGCGCCUACGAUGGGGCCAUAACCAGAUCAUACUGCGUACUGCGCAGCAGCCAGCG
rnacentral:sRNA from 1 species